rnacentral:sRNA from 1 species
ACACCCACCAUAUAAAGAGGAAGAAGAUUGUCCAGAGCUGCAAUGGUUGAAGGAGAGGCUACGGAUGUGUGAAGGAUGAAGAGAAAGGAGAAGAACAGCAGUCACUGGUUUUGAACGUUUUACACAAAAUGCAAAGUGGAAAUGAGGAGAAGAAUUGAUUCAUUGUCUGGAGAAGGAUGCAUGCGGAAACAAUCUGAAGAAGACGACAAACAUGGGGCCACCAAUAUUUGUUUUGGUUUUAGAGCAUUUGCCUUGACAAAAGAUUUGAUUGAAUGUGUCCAAAAUCCAAAUUGAAAAGCAUAGGGGUGUCCGGAAUAUUAUUCUUAAUAACUAAAAAGGGGAGAAUAAAGCUACGUCCAGAAGUUCACGGGAGGAGACUAUGCUACGGGAGUUGGUCAGAGAAUUGGUUAUAAAAGCAAGGCAGCAUGCAGAGAAGAAGGCAGUAGAUUUUAGGAGUAGUUUAGG